rnacentral:rRNA from 1 species
AUUGAACGCUGGCGGCAUGCCUAACACAUGCAAGUCGAACGGCAGCACAGCAGUAGCAAUACUGUGGGUGGCGAGUGGCGGACGGGUGAGGAAUACGUCGGAAUCUGCCCAGUCGUGGGGGAUAACUAGCCGAAAGGUUAGCUAAUACCGCAUACGACCGAGAGGUGAAAGCGGGGGACCGCAAGGCCUCGCGCGAUUGGAUGAGCCGACGUCGGAUUAGCUAGUUGGCGGGUAAAGGCCCACCAAGGCGACGAUCCGUAGCUGGUCUGAGAGGAUGAUCAGCCACACUGGAACUGAGACACGGUCCAGACUCCUACGGGAGGCAGCAGUGGGGAAUAUUGGACAAUGGGCGCAAGCCUGAUCCAGCAAUGCCGCGUGUGUGAAGAAGGCCUCGGGUUGUAAGCACUUUAUCUAGACG